rnacentral:rRNA from 1 species
GACGAACGCUGGCGGCGUGCUUAACACAUGCAAGUCGAACGGAAAGGCCCUGCUUUUGUGGGGUGCUCGAGUGGCGAACGGGUGAGUAACACGUGAGUAACCUGCCCUUGACUUUGGGAUAACUUCAGGAAACUGGGGCUAAUACCGGAUAGGAGCUCCUGCUGCAUGGUGGGGGUUGGAAAGUUUCGGCGGUUGGGGAUGGACUCGCGGCUUAUCAGCUUGUUGGUGGGGUAGUGGCUUACCAAGGCUUUGACGGGUAGCCGGCCUGAGAGGGUGACCGGCGACAUUGGGACUGAGAUACGGCCCAGACGGCUACGGGAGGCAGUAGUGGGGAAUAUUGCACAAUGGGCGGAAGCGUGAUGAAGCGACGCCGCGUGCGGGAUGACGGCCUUCGGGUUGUAAACCGCUUUAGCCUGUGACGAAGCGUGAGUGACGGUAAUGGGUAAAGAAGCACCGGCUAACUACGUG